GAGUUUGAUCCUGGCUCAGGACGAACGCCGGCGGCGUGCUUAACACAUGCAAGUCGAGCGAUGAAGCUCCUUCGGGAGUGAAUUAGCGGCGGACGGGUGAGUAACACGUGGGUAACCUGCCUCAUAGAGGGGAAUAGCCUUUCGAAAGGAAGAUUAAUACCGCAUAAGAUUGUAGUACCGCAUGGUACAGCAAUUAAAGGAGUAAUCCGCUAUGAGAUGGACCCGCGUCGCAUUAGCUAGUUGGUGAGGUAACGGCUCACCAAGGCGACGAUGCGUAGCCGACCUGAGAGGGUGAUCGGCCACAUUGGGACUGAGACACGGCCCAGACUCCUACGGGAGGCAGCAGUGAGGAAUAUUGCACAAUGGGGGAAACCCUGAUGCAGCAACGCCGCGUGAGUGAUGACGGCCUUCGGGUUGUAAAACUCUGUCUUUGGGGACGAUAAUGACGGUACCCAAGGAGGAAGCCACGGCUAACU
rnacentral:rRNA from 1 species